CAAACAUGAAUUUAUCAAUCUUGAAAAGAUACUCCGUGAUGCCGAGCGUUGGUCGACGGGAACGAAGGACAUCCUAUAUAUAAGAUAAACAAGUCCGCACAAUAAGGCUCAGGUGUGUCAUAAAGCCCUUUCUUUCAUGAACUACAAUUACAAAGCAGACGGGGCUUUGACGGAGUAUAACCCACAAAUAAAUUAUCGAAGCAAUGCCUUCCAAUUUUGACCUUUGAGUACAUGCCUGACUGAUGGUCCAAGUACGCCGAAUGUUUACUGCUUUGGGACCACUGUCGCGUAAAUGGUCUAUUUCUAUUCUGGUGGUUAUUAGACAGAUUCUACGAAAACCUAAUAUUGGAUGAAAUUCAUGUGUCGCUGGUGGGACAGAUAAGUUGAUAAAGUACCAACCAAAAUAUACCAGCAAUUCCUGUGCAGACGGAUUGCUUUUUUUCUGGAGUUUUACCAAAUGUUUGGACAUUCAAAAAAGGAUUACAAGGGCAUUGAAGUGAGGAAUCGAAUUUAAUCUUCUGGUGUAAACUACAUGGACUACCGUGCGGAUAUUAUCGCUAAGAACGGAUACAAGCUAAACGGAUAUCCUGUAUCAAUGAUGUCCUUAUUGUGGGAUUACCGGAGCUGCAACAUGGCCAGCGACCGAAGGGAUUUUUCGAAUUCUUGAGACGCCGCAGACCGCCCAUGAAUCGAACGUCAAAGGUGGAAACGCAAUGAGUUGAUUGAAGGCGUCCUCCUCAGUGUUUCCGCAUCUAAAUCAGUCCAUAUACUUCAAUUCAUACAACAACCAAAAACUCCUUCAUUGGCAACACUAGACAUUAACUUAGUUUGAGGUCAAAUGAAUCCCAACGUUAUCUAACUGUGGUUGCACCGACAUCUAAGGUGUUGAAAGAACAUUGGUCAUGAUUUCCUUAACCGUGGGAAUCAGGGCGAUUUACUGCAAAUUAUGCAGCCAAAACCGGAAGUGUACUGCAUUGUACCUAACUAAUGAAAAAUGCUCCCAAUUUUUGCAACAAUGUUUAUUAAAUAAUAGCAGUUUUUUGUUGGUAACUUAGCCAUGUAAAGAUGUCAUAAUGCUUAAACGCUAAUUUGACCUAAUUUUACAUUUAUGAUGUUUUUUUCUUAACUUUAACGCACAUUCAAUAAUUUAAAACGAUUAAACCGACCCCAUAUCACACAAA